CUGGAAUACAGUUUUUUCUUCUUUUUACAGAGAGCCAUUUUCCUGUCCUGAAGGUAAUUUCUGUUCAGCCAAGAGACUGAUUCUGAGCAAAACAAAGGAUUUCCUUACCUGCAGUCUUUGUAGUGUCUGUGAAAGCAAAAAUAGCUUCAAAGUUCCUGCUCUCAAUACAGAAGAUUGAAAACCACAAUGCAGGUUGUCCUAAUCUCUCAAGAACACUUAAAGACAGUAAGGCUAUGAAAAAACAGAACAACAACUGAAUUUCCAUUACAACCAAAUGGCCAAAGUUGCCUACCAGCAAGACAGGACCUAGUGCCUGGUGCUGGCAGUUCUACACAUACCUCAGAUGUGGGCAGACUUGAGUGGAUGGUUCAAGCCAUGGGAGGAUCACCAGCAUCGAGUGGAAGACUGUGCUGAUGAUCCCUGAGUCAGUGAAGGAUAAACUCAAGGUCAGAUUUCAUUAGUAAUG
rnacentral:lncRNA from 1 species